AUUUUUUUCAGAGCGAAAACGAGGCUCACGCCAUAUUGUUUUCUGGUUAAAAAAGGUGUUGACAUUUAGUUCUAAGAGGAAGUGCGACAUAUAAUUUUGUUCUUCGGAAUCCAUCCUGUUUCACAGUUGAUCGAGAGUGGUCCUUCCUUUGAAGAAUCAGUCGAGGAUUUUUUUAAGAGUUUGAAAUCCCAGUUGUCGUUUGCACAAUGCCAUUCCAAACCAAAAGUGACCAGAUCGCCAAGUUACGAGGCAAUGCCGAUCAAAUGAGACACCACUUAAAAGUUGACCGGAUGCAUAUGUCUAAAACCAUUGCGGAGCUUAUCAGCUACUGUAACCAUGUGGCACCAGAGGACCCCCUCCUCUACCCAGUCAGAGAUAAUCCAUUCAAGGAAAAGAAGUCCUGUGCAAUUCUGUGAUGUGCUCAAGACUUUUUUUCCUAUUUAUACAUUCAUUUGUGAUGAAAUAUUACUGGGGGUACAACAUACCAAGAUAUUAUGAAUAUCAUUGUUUUGGUCUGGUGGUGAAUAAAAAGACCCAAAAUACUUUUUAAAAGUAAGGAAAAUAUUACAAAUUCAUUGGAUAUGGGUUUUGAAAAUAUUACACGUCAUUACACCUUUUUUUCUAAAAUGUUUCUCUCACUGGUCAAAUAAAACCUAACUUCAGUUUGUAUUCCUUAUCGAUUUUUUUUAUACAAAUGCACCUGUAUGUUAUACUGUAAUCUUGUCGGAUAAUUAUUCUAUUAUUUAAACUUUUUGGCAAAUGGUUGUACUGAAAUUCAACAGGAGAAAGGAUUACAUGUAUUUUGAUACACUGCUACUUGAGGCUGCGCAAGAAUUAAUGAAUUGUAGCAAGUGCAGUCAUACUUGAAUCAAUCAGUUUGACAAGCACCACUUAUCAAACUUUGGCUGAGGGGCCUCUGAUAGGAAUGAGACUUCUAUGUGUAAAAUGCAAAGUUUCACUCUUUAGAAUAGGUUUUUCGGCUCCAUUAGUUUACCAGUCUCAUGAAAGUGCAUUAAUUCUUACGGCAUCUUUACUGAAACAGUUGUCUAUUAGAAUUCUGUGUUAUAUCUUGAAAGCUAUUUAAUGGUGUAAAAUUUUGAAUCGUUCCCAAGGUUCAAAUAGAAUAUGAUGGAUGUCUUAUAUCUAUAGAAAUAACCAUUAAAAAUUUCAAGAUGUCAUUAUUUGAGCACUAUUUUUGGAGGAAAUGAUACAUUUGUGUUUAGAAAUCAGGAGCUGGCAAUAUACAAUUAAAUUAUGCUGACAGUUUGACAGAUUUACUUUGGUAUACAGAAGUGAGUUGUUGAUGGAUGUUAAAUACAUGUAUGCUAUAUAAUCAGAAUGUAAAUUAGCAUGUAUUAAUAGUGUUCUAAUCACUGUCUGCAAUAAAUUCUUUUACUUGUG